rnacentral:lncRNA from 1 species
UUAUAGUAGACAAAAAUACCUUCAUAUAGUAUGGAUUCUAAGUUUUAAAGUCAAGUAUAUUUAAAUAAUUUUCAUUCUCAAAACUAAAAAAAACCCUUAAACCCUUAAUCACAUCUCUCAUUCCUCUCAAUCCUUUCCCUUUCAUCUCUCUCACCCCAAUCUUUUCUCUGUCAUCUGUAGUAGCCCCAAUUAAAAAAUAGAAAC